GGAACCUGAAUAUUGAGGGGGAUUUGCUGACAUAUCAGCCUCAGAGAUUACAGAUGAGAGAUUAGCUAUUCUUUGACUCGCAACAAACGUAUGAGCUGACACACACUGAUGUUACUGGUAGUCCUUCCAUUUACCACAACAGGAAGUCUAUGUGGACAAACUUACUACACCACUCCCGUAAUGCCAUCCAUCCAUCCACAGACACUUUUAUCCUAGAAAUCAUUUUUCCGGUGGAUGAAUAGUCUGAAGUCAAGAAGAG
rnacentral:lncRNA from 1 species